CCUACGGGAGGCAGCAGUGAGGAAUAUUGGGCAAUGGACGAGAGUCUGAACCAGCCAAGUAGCGUGAAGGAUGACGGCCCUAUGGGUUGUAAACUUCUUUUAUAUGGGAAUAAAAUGUUCCACGUGUUGGCUUUUGUAUGUACCAUAUGAAUAAGGAUCGGCUAACUCCGUGCCAGCAGCCGCGGUAAUACGGAGGGUCCGAGCGUUAUUCGGAUUUAGUGGGUUUAAAGGGAGCGUAGGUGGGAUGUUAAGUCAGGUGUGAAAGUUUGGGGCUCAACCGUAGAAGUGCAGUUGAAACUGGCAGACUUGAGUGCAGUAGAGGUGGGCGGAAUUCGUGGUGUAGCGGUGAAAUGCGUAGAUAUCACGAAGAACUCCGAUUGCGAAGGCAGCUAACUGGAAUGCAACUGACGCUGAGGCUCGAAAGUGUGGGUAUCAAACAGGAUUAGAUACCCCGGUAGUC
rnacentral:rRNA from 1 species